rnacentral:rRNA from 1 species
GUUGAACGCUGGCGGCGUGCCUAAUACAUGCAAGUCGAGCGUAGCGGGGACGGGUGAGUAACUUGUAGAAAACCUCCUAUAAGACUGGGAUAACUAUGGGAAAUCGGAGCAAACCCGGUUAUUUAUAGAAUGAUCAGCCCUGCACGAGCUAGUUGGUAAGGUAACGGCCUACCAAGGCAACGAUGCAUAGCCGACCUGAGAGGGUGAUCGGCCACACAGGAACUGUGACACGGUCCAGAGUCCUACCGGAGGCAGCGGUAGGGCAUCUUGCACAAUGGGCGAAAGCCUGACAGAGCAACGUCGCGUGGGAGAUGAAGGUCUUCGGGGCGUAAAUCUCUGUUAUUAGAGAAGCGGUACCUAAUCAGAAAGCCACGGCUAACUGCGUGCCAGCAGCCGCGGUAAUAC